GCCCCGCCAGCCCGAGGCGCGGGAGGGGCCCGGAAAGCUCCCGCCCGCCCUCCGCUGCCGGCGGCCCCGGGGGCGCCCCUUCCGCGGCCGAGGCCCCCGCUCGCGUGGGGAGCUUCUACCUGCGAGCCCGCGGCCCCUGCCCCGGACACCCGACAUCCCCGACCAGGCGCGCCGGAUUCUCUGCCAGGUUUUACAGCCUCCCUCGCCUUGGGACCGCCGCGGAGGACCCGUUCCCGCCACUUCGGACCUCGCGAGCGGGGCUGAGCUGCUUGGGUCGGGGACACCACCAGCCUCUGGAGAAACGGCCCGAAGCACCCCGAAGAAGAGGGGGUCCCAAUCCCCUGCCCUUCCCCUGUGCGCACCCCCACCCCCAGCUUGCCUGGAACCUGAUUCCCCACCUUUGUCGACCGGGACAGGGACUGGGGGAUGCACCCCAGAUCAGAAAGUCAGAGGUGGCCAGGUGGCCUUCCGAAUCGGCGCAGACUUCCGAGGAACCUUCAGCCAAUUCUCGACCCCCUUAACACCUGCAAGGCCUUAGGAAUCGGCUCCAGAAAGCUCGAGCUUAUCUGCGUGUUCCUUUUUAAAAAUCACUUCUAAGAUAAAACCUCACUAGGCUUUCCCCUUCAGACUUUCACUUACUCCUGUUUGGCAUUUUGACAUUCACUCUACCCUUCGUCUUUGUAAGGACAAAUGAAGACUUAGAAGGCUUUGAUGACACGUACGGAUGGCAUGAGUCGUGAUAUAAAAUAGUAUUGUUUUCACGUGUACUUCGAAGUCAUCUCAUUUGAAAUUAACUGUCAUAAUUGACUAUUUGGAAUAUUCAAGCUAAAUACUACCCGCUGCUGUGGUGACGGGAGGUGGAGGAAGCGUGGUGGAACCCCCACACCUAGUGAGGGGUGGCUGAUUAAUACCACGGCUCACAACAGAGCGGCUCAUUCCAUGAACAACCCCGGGGGGAUUUCGAAUUCUGUCAUCUGGGCAAAAGACGUGAUGAGUGUAACUUCCUGUUUUCUCCAAACUAAAACACUACGCAGAUUCCUGUACCACUCUGGGACAGAAAUCCUCAGCCAGAGCAGAGGCCGUCCCCAGAGUCCACACUGUUUCGUGCAUAACGUGCGUUUAUCUCAGAAGAAAUAUCCCACUGGUCUGUGUGAUCCCUCUAUUGAAAUGUGGUCUUUUAUCUACAUCUAAGUAUCUCUAGAAGUAAUGGGUUUGUAUGUAUGUGUCACUCAGAUAUGUAAUCCCUUAAUUUGUGCGGGGUGUUGGGGUGUGAAAAAUUCUUGGUUUAUAUCCUACACUUUUAAAUAACCUCGUCAAAACUUAGAUGUAUUUAACACCUUUUUUUGUGAGCACAUGGUAAGGUUGGAAGUAAAAAUGGAAGGUUUAUCCCUGUGGCCCAUGUGUUCCAGUGUACCUAUGUGGGUUUUUAAAAAAAUGUCCCAAUUUCUUCCUUUUACUGGAAGCUGCGUUUUUUACACAACAACUUACCUUCCUAUUCCCUAACCAGUCUUCUCCAAUCUUACCAUUCAAUAUAGCCUCCUUUUCUGUGACUUCCUCCAGAUGAAUAGAAGGGCUGAGUGGGUCAACCUUCCCUGUAUUGUUUGUUUCCUCCACCCUCUCUUUUGCCUUAAUAGCAGUAUUUGGUCCACCCACACCACUCUCCCUCUUCUCACUGCCUCCAUUCCUGGUUCUUAACUCUUCUAUUCUUUACUCUCCACCUGCCUACACGAUCAUUCUUAGCAGCAAAUUUAUUCCAUCGACUUUUAUGUCCACUUAACAUCCGGAUUGCAUUUACUUUGCGCAGAUAACCUUGCCUCCUACCUCACAGGUCAAGGCCACCUGCUGCUCUCUUUCUACUUUAAAACAUCCUUCCUCCAUCUUUCUCCCCCAACUCAGCAAAAUUGAUGUCCCUCUUGGAUGACCCAAAGUUUGGAGGGAUAAGUAAUUUGAUAGAUGUCAGAAUCAAAGUUCAAAACAGUCUCAACAGACUACAACAUUAGGCCAAAAGCAAUGAAAUAAAAUAUAACUUUCAAAUCUAAAUAUGAUGUGCUAGUUGGAAAAGCCCAAGUUUUAGAUUUUAGCAGACCUUGGUUUAUAUCUAGUUACUCAAAUUUGAGUCAUAUCCAGUAACUCAGAUUACUAUCUUUUGCUUUAGUAAGGUCAACUGUUAAUUUGAGAUAAAAGUACCUACUUCA
rnacentral:antisense_RNA from 1 species